rnacentral:lncRNA from 1 species
GUCAUGAUGAGCAUCUGAUCGUCUUCAGAGACACAAAGAUCUCAGUGUUGAGCUGUUCAUCUGCAGUAUGUCAGAGAAGAGAGGAAAGAUGAGUCUCUCACAGAAACAGAGUGUAAGAUCAGGAUCACAUGUGUCUGUGAAGAGUGACCGGUCAAAGAAUGGUGGCCUGCCAAACUUCAGUGAGAAAAAAACAUCAGUCAAAAGUGUAAGAUCAGGAUCACAUGUGUCCAGCUCUGUGUCUGUGAAGAGUGACCAGUCAAAGGAAGAACCACUGAAAUUCAGUGAAGAAACAGCAUCACGAACCAAACGGUAUUUGAUCUGUUUCUUAUUUUUGUUUAAACACAGACUGUGUCAGUGAAUAAUUAUCAUAAAACUUAUAGUCCACAAAUGUAUCAUUUAUUUAUUUAUUGUUUUUCUCUUUGCUAAAAUGGUUACAAAAUGUGGUCAUAUUUCUUUUCCUAAAAAUGCAGUAUUUUGAUUUAUUUUAUUUACUAUCAGGUUUCAGUAUGAAACAUCAGAUCCAGAUUUACAGCCUCACAGGAACCACAAGAAUUUUACAGACAGUCUCCUGCAGAUCUUCCAG